UGUCGUAUAUAUUGUUUGGCACCUUGCCAGAAAUGUUUAGGCUUGCAUCCUGAAAACGAUACUGACUGUAGGGAUACUAACAGCAUAAUAUUCAUCUUUUGUCAUUUGAAAUGGAGUGAAGGUGAACAAGGCCUUUAAGAAGACCGGUCAGGAUCCUCCCCGUAGUGUUAGUUGUGACUGUUUAGAGUGGCCACUAGGGGGCAAAGAGCAAGGAGGCUGUGUAAAUGGGAAAUACAAAGACAGUCUAAGACCAUCUGGCGUUCACCCCACCAUGGUGUGCUCCACAUUGCUGUAUUUGCAAUAAUGUUCAAUGCUUGAUAACAAUCAUUAUUCUAAAAUUCAGUGUCAUUGUUUGACUGUCAAAAUAAACUGCAGGAUGUCAACAAUAACCAGUGUCCCAGACAAAAACAUCAUUAAGCUGAGGUUAAAGCUGACAGUACAUAGCAAUAACAUUAGAGUAAAAUUUAAAAAUGCAGAUAUAGUUAUCAAAAACACCAACCAUUAGCAACCUAGGAAGUUCAAAGUUUAACAGAAAAGAAACCUAAACAUUUGAAAGUGGGGAGCUCUCAGUCAGAGUUCCAGCUACAUGAAGGUUUUGUCUGGAAAUUGUCUUUUUUGGUCUGAGUUAUUUUUACAAUUUUGAACGUUCAUUACUUGCAUAGGGAAAAAGGAAGCACAAUACCCUGUGGUACUCCUGAGCUUUGGAACUGGGAAAGACAACAGGAGAGGACUCUGCAGAUCACUGGACAUGAGGGGGAAAGCGGAGAGCAGGUUGGCCUCCCUACAGACCUUCUAAAGUCCACAGGAUGUGUUGCAAACAGAAGUCAGCAGGAGGAGUGGACCAGAAGUGCAUUCUACUGAGGGCCACGACAACUUGUGCAGAUUUUAACAUGUCCGCAGGGAAGCAAAUAUGGGAACAGAAGCAGGAAUCUAGGUGUGGAACCUGCAAGAGCAGUCGAGUCAGGGCGUUAGUGGGAAGAUGACUUUGGGAAGCCAGGAGGGCUGUAAAACAUACCAGGCCAGGGAAAAAGUGGCACAGAACAGGAUCUCUUUGGGCCCUCUGAACAAGAGGGGAACCUGGGGAAUUUAGGAUCUUCAAAGGGCUACAGGAGUCCUCCACGCAUGAGGAAGUUGGAACCCAGCUGCACAUGUUCAACUAUGUAAUCUGCAGGUGUUUGUGGCUGCUAUCUUGCCAGCUGCUGCCUAUUCAGGGUUGUAUCUUGUAUGGGUUUCACACACUGUAUAAAGUACAGCACCAUCUAUAUUCACUGUUGGUUCUAAAAACAUUUUACAAUCUAGACUAUUUACUUAAGACAUAAUUCCAGGGCUCCCCUAUAGGUUUCAAGCUUAUAGACGCCAGCUCCUUGCAUUCAUUUUUACUUCUUAUUUAAAUUACCACAUACUAUUUAUUCUUUCAAGUACACUAUCACCAGCUUUGGCUAGUAAAAGCAAAUAAGAUAUCAGGGAGGUGGAGGGAGAGCUAAAAAAAAAGGAAAAUAACUGAAGUAUUUUCCUGGUUAGGGAGGUGCAUUUUAGACCCACAAGAAUGCUAUUUAAAUAUUAUUUUUUCCAAGUAUGCAGACAAGGUAGUGGAUAGGUUAGAGGGAUCAAGUGGGAGGAAAGAGUGACAAAACUUGACCUUCACUCCCUUACCUACUCACAACUCAUCUGUGAAACUAAUGCAAAUAUUUUUUUAAAACCUCUGCAGCUGAAUUCCCAGAGCUCUGUAUUUUUAUAUCAGCCAAUUUCUCUUUCAGCCUUUAGUGGGCACAUUCUGCAUAAUAAUGGAAAAUAGAAAAGAAAAUGGGCUGCAUAAUGAGAUGUUUGCCAGGCAAUGAGAGAGUGCUAAGUGGCCUUGUCUUCAGUGAUGCUUUCAUUUCCACACAAGACCUACCAGCCUCAGAAGUUGCUAACAUUUUUCAAAAACCCAGGUUCCCUUGUGACAUUUGCAACUAAAAAAAUUUUGAUUUAAAACUCUCCUGUAUUUCAUUGGUGGCAUUUAACAGCUGAGAAGCCAUUUUGUCCUUUGACUGAAGUUAUAGAGAACCAUGAAAUUAUUGCAUUGUGAUAUGCUUGCAUUGUGUUGUUUUGGUCAGAGUAGCAUCUAUAUUUGACAUUGUGUCUUUCAGACAGAAAAGUCUAAGUGCUACAGAGAGGUACAUUUAGCAUUCUUUUUCAACCUCAUCUCCUCAGCUGCUGGCACUCUUCUCUCUUUCUCCCUACCUCCUGGCAACUGAGAGCGGUAUCUCUGCUCUUUCCCCUACUUUCCUGGAUGUGAGUUCCAUCCUUACCUGUAGUGGGAAAAUGGGGCUGGGAGACAGAGAACAAUAGCUCUCACAUGGAUAUGUUUGUCUGCUAAGCACUCCUCGUUUUGCCUGGCAGACAAAAAUCAGGGAGCCUCAUAACUGGCCAUUGUGAUAAGUGUUUGUGAUCCUGGCAAACUGAAUGGAAACACAGUCAGUUAUAUGGACUCCCCCUUAGAAUCCGUAAAAUCCACAUGAGCCUUAAGAG